rnacentral:rRNA from 1 species
UACGUAGGGGGCUAGCGUUGUCCGGAAUCAUUGGGCGUAAAGCGCGUGUAGGCGGCCCGGUAAGUCCGCUGUGAAAGCCGAGGGCUCAACCCUCGGAUGCCGGUGGAUACUGUCGGGCUAGAGUACGGAAGGGGCGAGUGGAAUUCCUGGUGUAGCGGUGAAAUGCGCAGAUAUCAGGAGGAACACCGAUGGCGAAGGCAGCUCGCUGGGACGUUACUGACGCUGAGACGCGAAAGCGUGGGGAGCAAACAGG